UGGGGAAUCUUGCACAAUGGGGGCAACCCUGAUGCAGCGACGCCGCGUGAGCGAUGAAGCCCUUCGGGGCGUAAAGCUCUUUCGACCGGAACGAUAAUGACGGUACCGGGAGAAGAAGCCCCGGCUAACUCCGUGCCAGCAGCCGCGGUAAUACGGAGGGGGCUAGCGUUGUUCGGAAUUACUGGGCGUAAAGCGUACGUAGGCGGAUGCGCAAGUUGGGGGUGAAAUCCCGGGGCUUAACCUCGGAAUUGCCCUCAAAACUGCACGUCUUGAGACCGAGAGAGGUAAGGGGAAUUCCUAGUGUAGAGGUGAAAUUCGUAGAUAUUAGGAAGAACACCAGUGGCGAAGGCGCCUUACUGGCUCGGUACUGACGCUGAGGUACGAAAGCGUGGGGAGCAAACA
rnacentral:rRNA from 1 species